UCGCGCCUGUAUCUUGCUGAACCGUUACAAUUGUCACAUCCAAAUCCGGUUGAGCAAAAUUUCAGGUGUGUGA
rnacentral:pre_miRNA from 1 species